UUCCCCCACUGCCCUACCGUCCCACCCUGACUUCCUUUUCUUUUCUCUCAAUCCCAUUGGCCGCAAGACCAAGUGAGUGAUUUAUUAUUCCCCACUUCCCCCACUGCCUUGCUGUCCUACCCUGACCAACUGCAAGCUACUGCGCGCAGCCAGACAUGAGGUCCAUCCUCUUCAACUCAACACCAUUCAGUCAUUCACCAUUGGGCAUUGGAAUUUGGCUGCAAGUGCAUUCACUCACCACCAACCCUUUUGAGUUUUGAGGUAAUUUUUGCAAACAAAUUAUCGAAGCCAUGUCUUUUAAGAAACAACUCUCUGGUAAUAUGCAAAG